UACGUAGGGUGCGAGCGUUAAUCGGAAUUACUGGGCGUAAAGCGUGCGCAGGCGGCUUUGUAAGACAGAUGUGAAAUCCCCGGGCUCAACCUGGGAACUGCAUUUGUGACUGCAUAGCUAGAGUACGGUAGAGGGGGAUGGAAUUCCGCGUGUAGCAGUGAAAUGCGUAGAUAUGCGGAGGAACACCGAUGGCGAAGGCAAUCCCCUGGACCUGUACUGACGCUCAUGCACGAAAGCGUGGGGAGCAAACAGG
rnacentral:rRNA from 1 species